rnacentral:rRNA from 1 species
GACGAACGCUGGCGGCGUGCUUAACACAUGCAAGUCGAACGGAAAGGCCCUGCUUUUGCGGGGUGCUCGAGUGGCGAACGGGUGAGUAACACGGGAGUAACCUGCCCUUGACUUUGGGAUAACUUCAGGAAACUGGGGCUAAUACCGGAUAGGAGCUCCUGCUGCAUGGUGGGGGUUGGAAAGUUUCGGCGGUUGGGGAUGGACUCUCGGCUUAUCAGCUUGUUGGUGGGGUAGUGGCUUACCAAGGCUUUGACGGGUAGCCGGCCUGAGAGGGUGACCGGCCACCUUGGUACUGAGAUACGGCCCAGACUCCUACGGGAGGCAGCAGUGGGGAAUAUUGCACAAUGGGCGGACGCCUGAUGCAGCAGCGCCGCGUUCGGGAUGACGGCCUUCGGGUUGUAAACCGCUUUCGCCUGUGACGAAGCGUGAGUGACGGUAAUGGGUAAAGAAGCACCGGCUAACUACGUG